rnacentral:rRNA from 1 species
UGGAGGCAGCAGUGGGGAAUUUUGCGCAAUGGGGGAAACCCUGACGCAGCAACGCCGCGUGAGUGAUGAAGGCUUUCGGGUCGUAAAGCUCUGUCAGAGGGGAAGAAAUGAUUUGCGGUUAAUACCCGUGAUUCUUGACGGUACCCUCAAAGGAAGCACCGGCUAACUCCGUGCCAGCAGCCGCGGUAAUACGGAGGGUGCAAGCGUUGUUCGGAUUUAUUGGGCGUAAAGCGCGUGUAGGCGGUUUCUUAAGUCUGAUGUGAAAGCCCCGGGCUCAACCCGGGAAGUGCAUUGGAUACUGGGAGACUUGAAUACGGGAGAGGGUAGUGGAAUUCCUAGUGUAGGAGUGAAAUCCGUAGAUAUUAGGAGGAACACCGGUGGCGAAGGCGGCUACCUGGACCGAUAUUGACGCUGAGACGCGAAAGCGUGGGGAGCAAACAGGAUUAGAUACCCCGGU